rnacentral:rRNA from 1 species
GACGAACGCUGGCGGCGUGCUUAGCACAUGCAAGUCGAACGGAAAGGCCCUGCUUUUGUGGGGUGCUCGAGUGGCGAACGGGUGAGUAACACGUGAGUAACCUGCCCUUGACUUUGGGAUAACUUCAGGAAACUGGGGCUAAUACCGGAUAGGAGCUCCUGCUGCAUGGUGGGGGUUGGAAAGUUUCGGCGGUUGGGGAUGGACUCGCGGCUUAUCAGCUUGUUGGUGGGGUAGUGGCUUACCAAGGCUUUGACGGGUAGCCGGCCUGAGAGGGUGACCGGCCACAUUGGGCCUGAGAUACGGCCCAGACUCCUACGGGAGGCAGCAGUGGGGAAUAUUGCACAAUGGGCGGAAGCCUGAUGCAGCAACGCCGCGUGCGGGAUGACGGCCUUCGGGUUGUAAACCGCUUUCGCCUGUGACGAAGCGUGAGUGACGGUAAUGGGUAAAGAAGCACCGGCUAACUACGUG